UCGUGUUUUUCUCGCUGUUGCUUUUGGUCUGCUCUGUUUCUACAAAUCAGACAGAGGCAGAUAAUGAAAUUCUUGCCCGGAAGAUUGAACUUCAUGAACUCCAACUCUCACAGGAUAUCCAUGCUGUGCUGAGAGAGCUGACCGCCUCACUGGCUGAACAGAAAGUGGAGAUCAGGACCUUAAAACAGGAGAAUCAAGAAAAAGUAGCAAAGCUGGAGACUGAAGUGAAGCUACAGAAGACUGAGAUCGACCAGCUGAAGCUGCAGUCAAAAGUCAAACAGGUGGCUUUCUCAGCCUCUCUGCUGGAUCAAGGAAGUGGAUAUACUGGACCAUUAAACACAGAGA